AGUGAACGCUGGCGGUAGGCCUAACACAUGCAAGUCGAACGGCAGCACAGUAAGAGCUUGCUCUUACGGGUGCCGAGUGGCGGACGGGUGAGGAAUACAUCGGAAUCUACUUUUUCGUGGGGGAUAACGUAGGGACACUUACGCUAAUACCGCAUACGACCUACGGGUGAAAGCAGCGGAUCUUCGGACCUUGCGCGAUUGAAUGAGCCGAUGUCGGAUUAGUUAGUUGGCGGGGUAAAGGCCCACCAAGGCGAGGAUCCGGAGCUGGUCUGAGAGGAUGAUCAGCCACACUGGAACUGAGACACGGUCCAGACUCCUACGGGAGGCAGCAGUGGGGAAUAUUGGACAAUGGGCGCAAGCCUGAUCCAGCCAUACCGCGUGGGUGAAGAAGGCCUUCGGGUUGUAAAGCCCUUUUGUUGGGAAAGAAAAGCAGCAGGAUAAUACCCCGCUGUUCUGACGGUACCCAAAGAAUAAGCACCGGCUAACUUCGUG
rnacentral:rRNA from 1 species